AACGCGAAGAACCUUACCCGGGCUCGAACGGCAGGGGAAUAUGUAAGAGAUUGCAUAGUCUUCGGACUCCUGUCGAGGUGCUGCAUGGUUGCCGUCAGCUCGUGCUGUGAAGUGUCGGCUUAAGUGCCAUAACGAGCGCAACCCUUGUCGUCAGUUGCCAUCAGGUGAUGCUGGGGACUCUGGCGAGACUGCCACCGCAAGGUGUGAGGAAGGGGGGGAUGACGUCAAAUCAGCACGGCCCUUACGUCCGGGGCGACACACGUGUUACAAUGGUGGGUACAGAGGGAAGCUACCUGGUGACAGGAUGCAGAUCUCGAAAACCCAUCCCAGUUCGGACUGGAGUCUGCAACUCGACUCCACGAAGUUGGAUUCGCUAGUAAUCGCGCAUCAGCCAUGGCGCGGUGAAUACGUUCCCGGGUCUUGUACACACGC
rnacentral:rRNA from 1 species